CUGCCCAGUGAUCAGUGACAUGAUUUAACGGCCGCGGUACUCUAACCGUGCAAAGGUAGCAUAAUCAUUUGCUCUAUAAUUGAGGGCUUGUAUGAAUGGUUUGACAAGAACAAUACUGUCUCUUAAAAAUUUACUAAAAUUUGGUUUUUAGGUGAAGAAACCUAAAUAAAAUUGAAAGACAAGAAGACCCUAUCGAGCUUAAAAAAUACGUUAACUAUAUAGAAAAACUAAAACUAACGAAAAAAUUUGGUUGGGGCGACUGAGGAACAAAAAAAGCUUCCUUUUAUAUAAAAAACUUAUAUGUAUUGAUCCAAAAUAUUUGAUUAAAAAAAUUAGUUACCGUAGGGAUAACAGCAUAAUCUUUUUAGAGAGAACAUAUCGAAAAAAAGGUUUGUGACCUCGAUGUUGGACUAGGAUAUCCUAAUAGAUUGCAGAAGUCUUUAAAGG
rnacentral:rRNA from 1 species